GAUGAAGAACGCAGCGAACGUGCGAAACGUAAUGUGAAUUGCAGAAUUCAGUGAAUCAUCGAAUCUUUGAACGCAUCUUGCGCUCCUUGGUAUUCCGAGGAGCAUGCCUGUUUGAGUGUCGUGAAUACUCUCAACUUCAACCCUUUUUUCGGAAAGGGAGGAAGGUUGGACUUGGGUGUUUGUUGAAGUGCGAGCUUCGACUCAUCCUAAAUGCAUUAGCGAUCUGCCUCAAUCACACACAAUGUGAUAAUUAAAACUAAAGCAUUGUUUAAUGAUCAAGUCGAGACUGCUUCUAACUGUCGCAAGACAAUAACGUGCAUACAUUUGUGCAUGUCAUUUGACCUCAAAUCAGGUAGGACUACCCGCUGAACUUAAGCAUAUCAAUAAGCGGAGGA
rnacentral:misc_RNA from 1 species